rnacentral:rRNA from 1 species
UGCGCAGGCGGUUGAUUAAGUCAGAUGUGAAAUCCCCGGGCUCAACCUGGGAAUGGCAUUUGAGACUGGUCGGCUAGAGUGUGUCAGAGGGGGGUAGAAUUCCACGUGUAGCAGUGAAAUGCGUAGAGAUGUGGAGGAAUACCGAUGGCGAAGGCAGCCCCCUGGGAUAACACUGACGCUCAGGCACGAAAGCGUGGGGAGCAAACA